GCGCUCAUCUGGCAGAGGCGAUGCCAUGAUCACGUAGGUGGGUUUCCCAGGGGAAGGCUUAUCCAUUGUACUCCAGGUGUGCUGACCUCUGCCAUUUCCCCAAAUGCGGAAAACUCGACUGCAUAAUUUGUGGUAGUGGGGGACUGCGCUCAUUAUUUUCUA